UACAAAGACAAAGUUCGGAGUUGAGAUGGA
rnacentral:piRNA from 1 species